CCAUACCACCCUGUGCACGACUGAUCUCAUCUGAUCCUGGAAGUUAAGCAGGGUCAGGCCUGGUUAGUAAUCCGAUGGAAAACCACCUGGAAAUACCAGGUGG
rnacentral:rRNA from 1 species